rnacentral:rRNA from 1 species
GAUGAACGCUAGCGGCAGGCCUAACACAUGCAAGUCGAGGGGUAGAAGGAGCUUGCUCCUUUGAGACCGGCGCACGGGUGCGUAACGCGUAUGCAAUCUACCUUGUACAGGGGAAUAGCCCAGAGAAAUUUGGAUUAAUGCCCCAUAGUAUAUAACCUUCGCAUGUUGGUUAUAUUAAAGUUCCAACGGUACAAGAUGAGCAUGCGUCCCAUUAGUUAGUUGGUAAGGUAACGGCUUACCAAGACGAUGAUGGGUAGGGGUCCUGAGAGGGAGAUCCCCCACACUGGUACUGAGACACGGACCAGACUCCUACGGGAGGCAGCAGUGAGGAAUAUUGGUCAAUGGUCGCAAGACUGAACCAGCCAUGCCGCGUGCAGGAAGACGGUCCUAUGGAUUGUAAACUGCUUUUAUACAGGAAGAAACCCUCCCACGUGUGGGAGCUUGACGGUACUGUAGGAAUAAGGAUCGGCUAACUCC